UUGCUGCAAUGUGCAAAAAUAAGUUCUUUCCAACAUUUUGUGAUAUGACAAAAUUUUGGAAAAAACUUAUUUUUGCACAUUGCAGCAA